rnacentral:rRNA from 1 species
AGAGUUUGAUCCUGGCUCAGAUUGAACGCUGGCGGCAUGCCUUACACAUGCAAGUCGAACGGUAACAGGUCUUCGGAUGCUGACGAGUGGCGAACGGGUGAGUAAUACAUCGGAACGUGCCCGAGAGUGGGGGAUAACGGAGCGAAAGCUUUGCUAAUACCGCAUACGAUCUACGGAUGAAAGCAGGGGACCGCAAGGCCUUGCGCUCAUGGAGCGGCCGAUGGCAGAUUAGGUAGUUGGUGGGAUAAAAGCUUACCAAGCCGACGAUCUGUAGCUGGUCUGAGAGGACGACCAGCCACACUGGGACUGAGACACGGCCCAGACUCCUACGGGAGGCAGCAGUGGGGAAUUUUGGACAAUGGGCGCAAGCCUGAUCCAGCCAUGCCGCGUGCAGGAUGAAGGCCUUCGGGUUGUAAACUGCUUUUGUACGGAACGAAAAGACUCUGGAUAAUACC